UGGGGAAUUUUGGACAAUGGGGGAAACCCUGAUCCAGCCAUGCCGCGUGUGUGAAGAAGGCCUUCGGGUUGUAAAGCACUUUCGGACGGAACGAAAUCGCACGGGUGAAUAUCCCGUGUGGAUGACGGUACCGUAAGAAGAAGCACCGGCUAACUACGUGCCAGCAGCCGCGGUAAUACGUAGGGUGCGAGCGUUAAUCGGAAUUACUGGGCGUAAAGUGUGCGCAGGCGGCUUCGCAAGUCGAGUGUGAAAUCCCCGGGCUUAACUUGGGAACGGCGCUCGAAACUACGGAGCUAGAGUAUGGCAGAGGGAGGUGGAAUUCCACGUGUAGCGGUGAAAUGCGUAGAGAUGUGGAGGAACACCAAUGGCGAAGGCAGCCUCCUGGGCCAAUACUGACGCUCAUGCACGAAAGCGUGGGGAGCAAACAGGAUUAGAUACCCCCGUAUCCCUGAGCGGGCUGGCAAGGCGCAU
rnacentral:rRNA from 1 species